rnacentral:rRNA from 1 species
GUUUGAUCCUGGCUCAGAUUGAACGCUGGCGGCAGGCUUAACACAUGCAAGUCGAGCGGAAACGAAAGUAGCUUGCUACUAGGCGUCGAGCGGCGGACGGGUGAGUAAUGCUUAGGAAUCUACCGAGUAGUGGGGGAUAGCCAUUGGAAACGAUGAUUAAUACCGCAUAUAUCCUACGGGGGAAAGCAGGGGACCUUCGGGCCUUGCGCUAUUCGAUGAGCCUGAGUGAGAUUAGCUAGUUGGUGGGGUAAAGGCCUACCAAGGCGACGAUCUCUAGCUGGUCUGAGAGGAUGAUCAGCCACACUGGGACUGAGACACGGCCCAGACUCCUACGGGAGGCAGCAGUGGGGAAUAUUGCACAAUGGGCGAAAGCCUGAUGCAGCCAUGCCGCGUGUGUGAAGAAGGCCUUCGGGUUGUAAAGCACUUUCAGCGAGGAGGAAAGGUUAGUAGUUAAUAACUGCUAGCUGUGACGUUACUCGCAGAAGAAGCACCGGCUAAUUUAGUGCCAGCAGCCGCGGUAAUAAGG